rnacentral:sRNA from 2 species
AUUAUUACUGCUGCUGUUGCUACUGUGGCCGGUGUCCGUAUUUGGUUAUGUGGUGAUAUUUCUACCUUUCGCCGCCCCGAACUAUUUUUUCCCUCUUUUUCUUUCUCUCCUCCUCCUCUCCUCUCCUCUUUUAUACCUUGCUUCUCUGCUCUCUGCCUCUUCUUCUUCUUCUUCUUCUGCUUCUUCUCGUUAUUCCUUUCCUCAAUCCCCUGGAGAGCUCUCUUCUUUGGCGGAUUCUUGUCGGCUUCCAGACCAUCCUCUAUUUGUGGUCGUCCUCAAUUCUAUGGUCCCCCGUCUCCGGGCUUCGUCCCACCUGGCCACUUCUCCCUCUUCGUCGACUUCCUCCCGUUUGCUUUCUUGUUUCCGUCGUCUAUAUACAUAUACCAUUAUACAAAUAUAAAGGCCGUUUGCAAAUCAAAACCUACAAUGUCGCCGCUCUGCUAGCAUAAAUCCGCGUUUAAUUUUUCUGCCAUUCUAUCAUUCCUUUUUUUUUGCCUUCGAUACUUCGGAAUCUUGCGCUUGAAUUUCGCCUCCAACAUAAACAAAGUAUACUUCCGCAGCAACCCUGGCCGAUUCUGCAUAAAUAUUAAAUAUCUCUCUCUGCCUCACAUCCACAGAUCUUGCUAUUCUUCCUCCUGACAGCUGUGUCAUUCAUCCCGUCCACCCCACUCGCUGGUGUAGUCACCCGCGGCCCCCUCUGGAGUCACGUUCUUGACUCCUCUUUAACGCUUUACCUACUUACGACCGACGCACAUGAAUCCAUCCGUUCCACUGUCUACACCCUCAACAGUUUCAUCGACAUCGCAGACCUCAGACGAUCCGAAUGGCGACCAGAUAACAAAGGCUAUGGAAGACACCCAUCUCCCGGUUCCUGCAUCAUCGCCACACGGAGAUGCGGUGUCUUCUCUUAAACCACAGAAACAGAAGAUGAGCAACCGUUUUUCUCGCAUGUUCCAGACCGGCAAAAUGUCCAACAGGGAUGUCCAGGCCGUGAAGGAUGCGGUUGCCCAGAGUCGCGCGAGUGACGGCACAUCCCCGCUGCAGACCUCCCCAGGCUCCACAACCCCGCCCGGCGAUCUCAUCCCCGCGGGCCCUAUUUCCCAGAGCUCAUCGAAACAGUCGGACAAAAAGCCCGAGGCAGAGAAGAAGCAGGGCAAAGAGGUCGUCCCUACCCACAAGCGAUAUGAAGCUCUUGAGGGUGGACUACAUAGACACCACUUGAAAAGCGCCAAGCGCCAAGAGAAGCUGUCGGAUAUGCUCCGUGAUAUGCUGGGAGGUGGACGAAAGAAGGAAGAACAGGUU